rnacentral:lncRNA from 1 species
AUCAACAUCACUAUUCUCAACAUCACCAUCAUUAUCACCACCACCAUAACUACGACCAUAACCACAAAACCAUCAUGUUACUAUGUGUGUUACGAAGUGACUUUUUAUUUCUUAACAGCACAAUCAAUAAUGGUGUUUAUCGCUGUGGCUUUGCAUCAUCGCAAGAGGCUUAUGAUAGCGCUGUUGUAAUUCUCUUUGAGGCACUAGAAAAAGUAUGUUUAAUUAGCAUCUAGCAUAUUGUCAAGAAUCGUAACAAAACUUGACAGGGACAUGUUUAGGUUUUGAAAGGCUACGUUUACACUAUACGGAAUAGCUUUCCGUAGCGGCGCGAAAAAGAACCUAGCUAUCCGUUUGGGAAUGUACAACUUUCAGAAGCUGAGCAAAACAUCUCUCCGUUGGCGUUGCAAUAAUUCCUCUGAAGAUAGCGUUCCUAAAAGGUACAGAUAGGUGUCUUUUCACGUCGCUAUGGGAAGCUAUCCUGUACAGGGUACACGAACCCUUCACUGAAACAAAUUGAACAACGAAAGAUCGUCCUUACUGAAUCUCUACGGAAAACAGUCUAAAACUAAUUUUCUGGAUUAACCAUAAAGUGAUGGUCCUCGCUGGACCUCAAGGAAGAGCAGUAAAGAAUGGGGUAUUAUAGCGUUCACCUACAAUUAUUAUUUUGCGUCUCUUUUAUACUAGCUUGAGAAUAUUUUAUCAACACGAAGAUAUCUGGUUGGCAAUCGAUUCACAGAAGCUGACGUCCGUUUGUUCACGUCUUUGAUUCGAUUUGAUGUUGUUUAUCACGGCCAUUUUAAGGUGCAUAAAUCUUUGAAACUUUUUUCAUAAAGCUUGUAGUUGUAAUACUGUUCUUUAGCUUGCUGAUCGUCAGACUAGCAGUUUGGAGGUUACGGGUCCAAGUUCUCAACGCGAACUAUUUCAACAAGCAAAAACAACAAGUGAAUACUAAUACAGUAAAACUCUGCUAUCUCCCCAAGGGAAACAGAAACUUUCGGGGUUCUAGAUAACCGAAUCAGUGUUAAAUUACAAAAAAUGGUUAAUAAGUAUUAAUCGGCAUAACCACCAUCACCAUCAUCAUUAUCAUCACCAUCAUCAUCAUAAUCACCAUCAUCAUCAUCAUCACCAUCAUUAUCAUCAUCAUCAUCAUCACCAUCAUUAUCAUUAUCAUCACCAUCAUUAUCAUCACCAUCAUCAUCAUAAUCACCAUCAUCACCACCACCAUCAUCAUAGUCACCACUAUCAUCAUCACCAUCACCAUCAUCAUCAUCAUCACUACCAUCAUGUUAUCUGUACAUUCUUCUCCAGAAAUCUUGUUGAAUCUUUCAUUUUUACAUUCUUAGUGUAACAAGAAGAGAAUAAUCGACUAUCCAAAUAUUUGGGGCUAUACUCGAGAUAUUUAUCAAAUUCCCGGCGUUGCAGAGACAUGCAAUUUUGAACACAUCACAAAAUCUUACAUGGUAAGCUGGUGUCAUGAUAAACAGUGUUUUACAGUGAGAUGCAGUUUUUGUGAUUUUUAAAGAUUUUGCAAAGGUCUUGCAUAACUUUUUGAACGAACCUUUGACCAGCACACUAGACCAAUUUUAAUAUUCUUGACUAAGGUCCAUUUCCACUGAGGAAAAUUUUCCGCAGAAAAAGAAUUUUGUAAAAUGUGAUUGGCCGACACAAAUUUUCCGUCGGAAAAAAACUUUGAAGUUGAAAAUGUUCAACUUUUUUAUAAAGCAAUGAUAUUUUCGGAAGAUUUUCUGUCCGUGGAAAUUUUUCUUGAGUGGAAAUAGACCUUUAGACUUUAGUGUCAAAAUUCAUCUCUUUGAUUAGAUUUUCGAUGCUCAGUAAUAGCUAGCUGUGUGAAAAAUCUAGAACAUAGCUCAGUAUUGCAUUUUUUCCCGGACACCCUAUAUACUAAUAUUAAAUAUGACUACAGUAUUCAUACUUUUUAAUACUUAAAUAAUGCGAAUGUUUACUACAUUUUCUAGCAAAGCCAUCGCAGCAUUAAUCCACAUGGCAUUGUUGCAAUUGGACCAGACCUUGACUAUUAUGCCCCACAUGGCCGAGAAGCGCUUGGACAGUAAUGCAAUGUGAAAUAUAGCUUUUAGCCUGGUUAUUUUAGCUAAUUGCUAUUGUUAUUUUAGCAUUAGUUCAAUACGUACAUUCAUUUUUUGUUAGCAGUAAAAUUUGAUGAUUAAAAUUGACUGCUUAAAGAUGCGGUACACUCCGUAUGUAAACAAAGGCUUUGUUUACAUUUCGGUAUCCAAAAUAUUGAAUUUUAUUCGACAACUAGUUAUAUUUUCAUGAUUCUAGAGUAUAGUAUAUCUAUAAGACACAACAUGCAGUCAAGCUUUGCAAGAACAUAAAAUGAAAUAAAAACCUAAAUAAACUGUUUGUAUAAUAAAAAGAGGGCUCCUUUGUGCACAUGCGCAGAUCGGACUGUACAGCAUCUUUAAAUCUGGUCUCAAUUUGAUUAUGUAACUCCGGACAACAGAACUACAGCCUGUAUGGCCCCUUACCUACCCUCGUCCCCAGGGCCAGAUUUAGGCAGUGGCGUAAGAAGGGGCCCUUUUGCCGCAUUGGGCGUGGGAAACUAUCUUGCAACAUUUGAGACCUGAGAUGUCUUUAUCAGGGGUGAAAAAAGUAUCGGACCAGCCCCGGAACCAAUGGUCCUAGGAAAUGCUUUGAGUCCCCGGAGAAUAUUUCCCCAAUGGAAUAUUUCUUCUGUGAAACACAUGUCUAUAAGUAUAACUGAAAAAUUAGUGAAGAUUCAGUUGCCGAUAAUUAUCGUAUUGUAAAAGAACAAUAACACAAAUAUGUAACAGUCAAGUCGAGCGUCACUCUGCUUUGAAAAUGACGUAGCCACGCUUAAAUACAAUUUCAAAACUAACAUGUUUCACCUUUCAAAACUGAUAAUUGUGGCCAAGCGAAUGACAGUGUCGUAUAAAAAAGAGAAAUAUAUUUCAAAACCUUACAUGCAAUGAUAGUAUAGCUAGCUGAGCAUGCAAUUAUUAGUAUUUAUUGUAGUACCAGUGUACCAAUUUCCCAAACAUCAUAAAAAUACAGUCUACGUAAUAUACAGGAUUUUACAGUAGUUUGAGUGUUACUUCUUUUUAAAAAGGCUUCCUAGUUUUAUAACCGAAAGAGAUAAAGACAAUUUUGUUACAGUUAUAAUAAAAUUUGGACGUGCGGACACGAGAUAUAUAGUAUCAGCAGAGAAGCUCUUAUUCUUAGGACGUUAUAGCUUUGUUUAGCAAAGAGCUUGUACUCGCAAAAAUCUUUGUUUGGUAAAGGCAGUAUUUAACUUUUACAUGUGAGAAUGAGUUAGGCGUAUAAAUGCAUGAUGUGGUUGCACGUCUUAAUUUUACACUUUAAUCCUUUAAAUGGCAAUGUGCUCUGAUGUGCCCUACUUUAUUAUUUUACUCCGUCUAACGCCAGAUGAUUUUACUCGCCAAUGUUGAGAGAGUGCCUCGAUGGGUGAAUGAGCUGUAUUUUUUAUUUGGUUUUAUUUCACUCUGUGUCCUCUAAAGCCUUUUUCACUACAGCAAUUCCAAGCGGAACAGGCAACCAAAGGUGAUACGUUCUUAAAGUGGUUCCAUGCGUUUGAAUGGCGCUUGUUUUGCUCAAUGAUGAUAGAAUACCACCUAUAUAAAGAGAAAUAUCAAAAGAGUAUACCUUUGCAGGAAACUGGAUGAACUCGAUUACAGUCAAACCGGAUGUUCUCUUGCAAGCAACAUUGUAAAUAAUGCUGAUUUACUUCGCCAAUGAACUCAUAAGAUGGGUCGUUUUUCAAGCCAUUUAAAACACUAGUGUGCUUUAUCAGAUACAACGGAUGCUCAUGUUUGAAAUGGUACAUGUAUUAUUACCUUGUUUCUGUGAACAUGGCUUGCACUGAGGAUAAAAUUUUUGGGAUUGAUAAAACUUCACAAGUUUAUUUGGUGGCAUGUGAUCAGCUAUGAAGUCGUUCUGCCUUCGUUUCCCACAUGAGUGACAACCAUAUCGUCUACCUAAACAUAACUGAUUAGUUAAAUAUCUAUAUGUUACAAAGUGUUUUGA